AGUUUGAUCCUGGCUCAGAACGAACGCUGGCGGCAGGCUUAACACAUGCAAGUCGAACGCAUCCUUCGGGAUGAGUGGCAGACGGGUGAGUAACGCGUGGGAAUCUACCGUGCCCUGCGGAAUAGCUCCGGGAAACUGGAAUUAAUACCGCAUACGCCCUACGGGGGAAAGAUUUAUCGGGGUAUGAUGAGCCCGCGUUGGAUUAGCUAGUUGGUGGGGUAAAGGCCUACCAAGGCGACGAUCCAUAGCUGGUCUGAGAGGAUGAUCAGCCACAUUGGGACUGAGACACGGCCCAAACUCCUACGGGAGGCAGCAGUGGGGAAUAUUGGACAAUGGGCGCAAGCCUGAUCCAGCCAUGCCGCGUGAGUGAUGAAGGCCUUAGGGUUGUAAAGCUCUUUCACCGGUGAAGAUAAUGACGGUAACCGGAGAAGAAGCCCCGGCUAACUUCGUGCCAGCAGCCGCGGUAA
rnacentral:rRNA from 1 species